rnacentral:rRNA from 1 species
AUUGAACGCUGGCGGCAUGCUUUACACAUGCAAGUCGAACGGUAACAGGCCUUCGGGUGCUGACGAGUGGCGAACGGGUGAGUAAUGCAUCGGAACGUGCCCAGAGGUGGGGGAUAACGCAGCGAAAGCUGUGCUAAUACCGCAUGUGAUCUGAGGAUGAAAGCGGGGGACCAGGCAGCAAUGUUUGGCCUCGCGCCUUUGGAGCGGCCGAUGUCAGAUUAGGUAGUUGGUGGGGUAAAGGCCUACCAAGCCGACGAUCUGUAGCUGGUCUGAGAGGACGACCAGCCACACUGGGACUGAGACACGGCCCAGACUCCUACGGGAGGCAGCAGUGGGGAAUUUUGGACAAUGGGCGCAAGCCUGAUCCAGCAAUGCCGCGUGCGGGAAGAAGGCCUUCGGGUUGUAAACCGCUUUUGUACGGAACGAAAAGGUUCUGGCUAAUACCUGGGGCUGAUGACGGUACCGUAAGAAUAAGCACCGGCUAACUACGUG